UUUCUUGAAUUGUCUGCCUCUUCCCUCUUUGAAAAAUGAAACAAAGGACCAAUAAGCCACGGCUUUUUACCUUUGAUUUCUUGAUAAAGCUUAGCAUAACUCGGCUCUAGAUCAUAGAUAGUGUCGUGAAUCAUAGCGUAGCUCCGAGGUUCUGAUUCUUUAAUUCUCCUCAUCAGCUCCCAAUAUGGUCCUUCAGAUUUAGUUAUAAUAUUCUCUGGCAAUUGAGAUCUUUUCAUUUCUAUCUGAUCUGGUAAACCCGGAAUCAAGAAACUUUCUGAAUCCGAACUUACCUUCUCAUGAGGUGCAUACAAUUUCAAACAAUGUUCAACACAGUGGUACAUAACAUUAGUCGGAUAAAACAUAAGUCUAGGUAUCUUCAGUUGCUCUGCCACAUCCACAGUCCAUGGGAAAAACAUGUCUGAAACAAUGCAAUGAGGACGAAGCUCGAAAAUAAGACUUUCCAUUGGUUUUUGAAGCAGAGGAAUUCCCAUAAACACACUUAUAGCCAUUUCUUGGCUAGUGGCAGCACUGAAGUUUUCGAUCCCUUCUGGUAUGCCUACUUCAGCUGAUGGGAAUUUGAGUUUGUAGACGAAUAUUUUGUGGCCUAAUUCAGUAGCAUGAUCGAUUGAGGACUCGAAAAGGAGGGCGUUGUAGGUGGUGGUGAUGAUACUAACUUUGACACCAUGACUAGCAAAAAGUCUAGCAAUAUCAACUAAAGGGAUCAUAUGACUUGGUGUGAAAUAUGGAAUGAAAACUACAUGGAGUAGUUCACCAUUUUUUUGUGCCAUGACCUUACUUGAAGAAGGGAUGGAAAUUCACUUAACAACUUAAAAUGUUACUAACUUAAUAUUAGAUUCAGACAUAUUACAGAUAGCCUAAAAAAGUCAUGAAAAAGCCAUUAAAAUACUAAGUAUGUUUCUUCAAGGAAUCUUAUCUUGGAUUAUUAUUAUAUUCAAUCAGUACACUGAGUGGUACUCCCUAUGUUAUCUUUCUGCAGAGCAGUUGAAAGCAAGUAAGGGUGUGCAUUGAUCGGUUCGGUUCGGUUUAGUUUUAAUGUAUUAUUGGUUUGGUUUAUUGAUUUUGGUUUUUAAAUAUGUUAAACCAAUAAGAUAUUUUUUAUUGAUUUCAAUUUAUCGAUUUUGGUCCUUAACGGUUCGGUUUUUAGUUUAAUCAAUAAGAAAAUGCUUAUAAAACAAAUAUUAUGACUUCUCCAACGUCAAUUUGACGUGACAAGACAAUAAUGUAACUUUAUAGAACGCUCAUAAGAUAGAAACAAUAAUAACUAACAUGAAAAGAACUAUACAAGUGCAACACAAAGAGAAAUUAAGAGGAAUAGAGUUCUUACUUUAGGUUUUGACAUUUUGUAUAAUGUGAAAUUGUGAACUCAAAGUUAGUCUGAAGUGUGAAUUGAAGGCUAAAGGACAAAGAUAGUAACCAAUACUGAGAUAAAUAGUUAAUAGUGUUGCUUGUCAUGAGCAUUAUUUCAGUUUUUACUUGUGAUUCAUAAGACAAAAGCAAUAAAAUCACUCAACUUAGCACAUUCCCUUAUAAAAUUGUUCAACUACGUAGAUUAUAAAAAGCCUGACAUGACAAAAUAUAUUAUUUUUCAUGUCAGGGAAACAUGGACUCCAUUAGAGCUAGGCCUGAAUGCUAAAAUUAGAAAUAUCGGAUCGAACCGAAUUAAUUCGAUUCUUUGGUUCUUCGGUUGGGAAUGAUUUUUUUUUUCAAAAGCUCGGUUAAUCGGUUUAAGAGUUCCAGUUCUUCAAUGUGUCAAUUUUAUUCCCAGCUCUAUAGUUAUACAGGUUCACAUAGCUUCAUUUUCUUAUUUGGUAGAUCCCUUAUUUGAAAGUUGAAACACUCUUUAAGAGUUUUUUGUCUAUAAAAAGAUUGCUUGAAACAACAACAUACUCAGUGUAGUUCCACAAGUGAUGUCCGGGGAAAAGAUUGCUUGAAACAUAACAUGUUAUUUCGUUUUACCUUUUCUUGUGUUAUGUAAUGCACGCGAGGCAUGAUGCUAUUUUAGGAAAAAUAAGUAGAGCUCAGAAUGUUAAAUUUCUUACUACUCUUCUGAUAUGCCAAAAGCAUGACACUUGAUCUCCUGUAUUAAUGUUGUUAGAUGAUUAUAAGAAGAACCUCCUUUCUCCACAGCCCUGUUAAUCAUUGCUUCGACGUCUUUUGCUCUACUUUUGAUCAUUUCACUUUCCCCGGAGGUGUUCAUCAACGUCUUCAAACUCGCCUCUAUCUUCUCUUUAUUGACAAUCGUAUCCUUGAUGUCAAAAGUACUGUGCCACACCUCUGCCCCGACCCUGACUCCACAUCCAAGAACCUCCACCAGCUUCUCAUUGUAGAACUGCUCCGCGAACAAUGGCCAUGUCAGCAUUGGCACUCCGGCUGUAAGAGAUUCCAGGGUGGAAUUCCAGCCACAAUGAGUCAUGAACACCCCGGUUGCUGGAUGGUUCAAGAUCUUCAGCUGUGGCACCCAUCCUCUGACUAUCAAACCUUUCUUGUUUGUAAGCAUUUUUUCCUUGAAGCUAGAAGGCAUCCAGUUUUCUUGCCCGUUUACUUGGGGUUCGUCUCCCUUCCUUACCACCCAAAGAAACGAUGAAUUCGAUGCCUCAAGAGCCAAGGCAAUUUCAGUAAGCUGAGCAUCAGAGAACCUCCCCAUACUUCCGAAACAAAUGUACACAACAGAGUUUGGUUCUUGAGAAUCAAGCCAACUCAAGCAGCUGUGUCGUUCUUGAUGUUGAGUAUUUCUUGAAUUGUCUGCCUCUUCCCUCUUUGAAAAAUGAAACAAAGGACCAAUAAGCCACGGCUUUUUACCUUUGAUUUCUUGAUAAAGCUUAGCAUAACUCGGCUCUAGAUCAUAGAUAGUGUCGUGAAUCAUAGCGUAGCUCCGAGGUUCUGAUUCUUUAAUUCUCCUCAUCAGCUCCCAAUAUGGUCCUUCAGAUUUAGUUAUAAUAUUCUCUGGCAAUUGAGAUCUUUUCAUUUCUAUCUGAUCUGGUAAACCCGGAAUCAAGAAACUUUCUGAAUCCGAACUUACCUUCUCAUGAGGUGCAUACAAUUUCAAACAAUGUUCAACACAGUGGUACAUAACAUUAGUCGGAUAAAACAUAAGUCUAGGUAUCUUCAGUUGCUCUGCCACAUCCACAGUCCAUGGGAAAAACAUGUCUGAAACAAUGCAAUGAGGACGAAGCUCGAAAAUAAGACUUUCCAUUGGUUUUUGAAGCAGAGGAAUUCCCAUAAACACACUUAUAGCCAUUUCUUGGCUAGUGGCAUACACCUAUAGCCAUUUCUUUGCUAGUGACUGCACUGAAGUUUUCGAUCCCUUCUGGUAUGCCUACUUCAGCUGAUGGGAAUUUGAGUUUGUGGACGAAUAUUUCGUGGCCUAAUUCAGUAGCAUGAUCGAUUGAGGACUCGAAAAGGAGGGCGUUGUAGGGGGUGGUGAUGAUGCUAACUUUCACGCCAUGGCUAGCAAAAAGUCUAGCUAUAUCAACUAAAGGGAUCAUAUGACUUGGUGUGAAGUAUGGAAUGAAAACUACAUGAAGUAUUUCACCAUUUUUUUGUGCCAUGACUGAACUUGAAGAAGGGAUGGGAACUCACUAAACAAUGGUAAGAAGUAGGGUGAGAAACAACGAAAAAUGUUACUAACCUAAUAUUAGAUUCAAACAUAUCACAGAUAGCCUAAAAAAGUCAUGGAAAAACAUUAAAAUACAAUGUAUGUUUCUUCAAGGAAUCUUAUUUUGGAUUAGUUUUUCUAUUCAAUCAAUACAUUGAGUGGUUCUCCAUGUGUUAUCUUUUUGCAGAGCAGUUGAAAGGGAGAUGUGGGCCGCAAACUACUUAGUACUACUCCCUCCGUUUUAAUUUAUGUGAUGUUUGGCUUGGCACGACGUUUAAGUAAGAAAGAAAGACUUUUGAAACGAUUGUCCCAUUAGGAUGAAAUGAACAUUUUAAAGUAAACUACUAGUUAUUAAAUAUACAAAAUGUGUCGUUCUUUUUUAGAUCGACUAAAAAGUAAAAUGUGACAGGUAAUAUGUGGUCCUACAAAGUACAAAAAUCAAUGUGUACCCCAAUAAGUAUCAUAGACAGCUCCCAAUGUUACUGUUGAGAAACUUCCCCAAAAACCGAAAACUUUCAUUAAAGGUGUGUUCCGUAGGAAAAUGUUUUUCAUGGAAAAUAUUUUCUAAUAAAACUAUUUCUAGAAAAACAAGUGGUUUCUUACUUAUUUUCCUCUGUUUGAUAUGCAAGGAAAAAAUAUUAUUCUAAAAGCAUUUCUAUAUAUAUGACAAAAUUAUGAGAAUAGAAUGACAGAGGGGAGGGUAGGGGGUGUGGGGGUGCAGGUGGAGUGGGAACGAGGGGCGGGGUUUGGGGUUGGUGGUGGAAACCAGUCUUGUCAGCUGAUUGAUAAUUUGUUUAUAGAAGGCAUUAAUGGCCAUAACAUGUUAUUUCGUUUUCCCUUUUCUUUUGUCUUGUAAUACAUGCGAAUUCAUCAUACAUAUUUUUACAUGUUGAUUUCUUGGAUAGUCACUCAAGUAAUAGUAUUAUCAAGUCAUUUUCUUUGUUGAGGAAAAUUAAAAUCAAGAAGAAAGAUGCCUUUUUGAGAUAAUAACUAGUAUUAGCUGAGUGUCCGUAUGAGAAAUCAACCCCAUAUUUUAGGGAAAAUGAGCGAAGCUCGGGACAUUAGAUUUCUUAUUACUCUUCUGAUAUGCCAAAAGCAUGAGACUUCAUCUCCUGUAUUAAUGCAGUUAGAUGAUUAUAAGAUGAACCUCCUUCCUCCACAGCCCUCUUAAUCAUUGCUUCGACGUCUUUUCCUCUACUUCUGAUCUUUCCACUUUCCCUAGAGGCGUUCAUCAACAUUUUCACACUCGCCUCUAUCUUCUCCUUCUUCACAAUCGUAUCCGUGAUGUCAAAUGAAAUAUGCCACACCUCUGCCCCGACCCUGACUCCACAUCCAAGUACCUCCACCAGUUUCUCAUUGUAGAACUGCUCCGCAAACAAUGGCCAUGUCAGCAUUGGCACUCCGGAUGUAAGAGACUCCAAAGUGGAAUUCCAGCCACAGUGAGUCAUGAACGCUCCGGUUGCUGGAUGGUUCAAGAUCUUCAGCUGUGGCACCCAUCCUCUAACUAUCAAACCUUUCUUGUUUGCAAACAUAUUUUCCUCAAACCCAAUUGGGAGCCAACUUUCAUAUGUGUUAUCUCCCUUUCUUACCACCCAAAGAAAGGUCGAAUUCGAGGCCUCAAGAGCUAAGGCAAUUUCAGUAAGCUGAGGAUCCGAAAACCUUCCCAUACUUCCAAAACAAAUGUACACAACAGAGUUUGAUUCUUGAGAAUCAAGCCAACUCAAGCAGCUAUGUCGCUCUUGAUCUGGACUACUUCUCGAAUUGUUUCUCUUUGAAAAAUGAAACGAAGGUCCAAUAAGCCACGGCUUUUUACCUUUGAUUUUUCGAUAAAGCUCAGCAUAACUCGGUUCUAGAUCAUAGAUAGUGUCAUGAAUCAUACCAUAGCUCCGCGGUUCUGAUUCUUUAAUUCUCUUCAACAACUCCCAAUAUGGUCCUUCAGGGUUGUUUUUCACAUCUUCGGGUAGUUGAGAUCUUUUCAUUUCAAUCUCAUCUGGUAAUCCCGGAACCUUAAAACAUUCUGAAUCCGAACUUACCUUCUCAUGAGGUGUAUACAACUUCAAACAAUGUUCAACACAAUGGUACAUAACAUUAGUCGGAUAAAACGUAAGUCUAGGAAUCUUCAGUUGCUCUGCUACAUCCACAGUCCAUGGGAAAAACAUGUCUGAUACAAUGCAAUGAGGACGUAGCUCGAAAAUAAGACUUUCCAUUGGUUUUUGAAGCAAAGC
rnacentral:lncRNA from 1 species